rnacentral:rRNA from 1 species
UACAGAGGUCCCAAGCGUUGUUCGGAUUCACUGGGCGUAAAGGGUGCGUAGGUGGUGAGGUAAGUCGGAUGUGAAAUCUCCAGGCUCAGCCUGGAAAUGGCAUCGGAAACUACCUUGCUCGAGGUUUGGAGGGGGGACUGGAAUACUUGGUGUAGCAGUGAAAUGCGUAGAUAUCAAGUGGAACACCAGUGGCGAAGGCGAGUCCCUGGACAAAACCUGACACUGAGGCACGAAAGCUAGGGGAGCAAACAGG